UGAACACUAUGAACUUGUGUUUCAGGAAGUUCUAACCUGGAACGGAGAAACUCUUCUGAUGAGAAAGCAUUUUGUCAAGACAUUCCAAACCAGCUUUACUUGGGAUUCCCCUGCCAGUUCAGGUUUUGCAAGGAAACAAAGAAUGGCUGGAAACAGAAUUUGACCCUACAGCAAGCUAAAGAUCAUAAGUGAAAACAAAACUCUGUACACUGAGCUCUUGAGAUGUUCGG